rnacentral:rRNA from 1 species
UACGAAGGGGGGCUAGCGUUGCUCGGAAUUACUGGGCGUAAAGCGCACGUAGGCGGUCUUUUAAGUCGGGGGUGAAAUCCUGGAGCUCAACUCCAGAACUGCCUUCGAUACUGGAAGACUUGAGUCCGGGAGAGGUGAGUGGAACUGCGAGUGUAGAGGUGAAAUUCGUAGAUAUUCGCAAGAACACCAGUGGCGAAGGCGGCUCACUGGCCCGGUACGUGACGCUGAGGUGCGAAAGCGUGGGGAGCAAACAGG